rnacentral:lncRNA from 1 species
GUUUAUCCAGCCAACAUCCAUCUCACCUCUCACUUUAUUGGUUUAACUGAUUGCAUCAUCAUGUCUCACACCUCUUGCAGGGAGAUCAGGGUCCUCCAGGGUUUCCAGGCCUUCCAGGCUCAGAGGGUGCAGAAGGGCAUCCUGGUCAUAGGGGUCCAUCUGGUCCUCCUGGGCCCCCAGGUCCCCGCGGAGGAAGCUUCAGCAUGGACUUUGAGGACUCGGAAGGAUCCGGGCUGCAGAGCGGUUCUGGAGCUAUGCUCUCCAGAGGCCCACAGGUACGAGGCUUUCUGCAUGUUUUACUUCUGUCCUAAUAUCCAUCAUCAGACGGUGUCAUCACAUCAUCAACUGCUAUUAUUAUUAUUACUACACAGGGUCCUGCAGGAAUCCCUGGACUUCAAGGCCCCAAGGGUAACGAUGGUUUAGACGGCUCCUCAGGAAAGCCGGGGCUAAAG